rnacentral:rRNA from 1 species
CAGCCGCCGCGGUAAUACGAAGGGUGCAAGCGUUAAUCGGAAUUACUGGGCGUAAAGCGUGCAUAGGCGGUUUGUUAAGUCUAUUGUGAAAUCCCCGGGCUCAACCUGGGAAUGGCAAUGGAUACUGGCAAGCUAGAGUGUGUCAGAGGAUGGUGGAAUUCCCGGUGUAGCGGUGAAAUGCGUAGAGAUCGGGAGGAACAUCAGUGGCGAAGGCGGCCAUCUGGGACAACACUGACGCUGAGGCACGAAAGCGUGGGGAGCAAACAGGAUUAGAUACCCCUGUAGUCCCUGUCUCUUAUAC